rnacentral:tRNA from 1 species
GCCUGGCUAGCUCAGUUGGUAGAGCAUGAGGCUCUUAACCUCAGGGUCAUGGGUUCAAGCCCCAUGCUGGGCA